AGGCUGCUUGUUGUUCGGGUUUCACAAGUUUGCCCUCUGGUUUUACUGUUAAAGAGAGGCCAUUGUAACUGAGAACUAGCUUCGAAUACAGCUGCUGCUACAUCUUUCCAGGCUUAUGAGAUAAUCCUGUUUUUGGUAGCCAGGUAUUUAACAUCUGUCUUUCAACGGGAUGUAACUCUCAUCUACUUCUCCAGAACCAAGUCUACAUGAAGCCAUGUGCCUGCUGCCACGCUUCACACCUGGAUGAUAAUGGACUCACCUCUGGAAACAAGCCCCCAAAUUAUAUGCUUUCUUUUAUAAGAAUUGCUUUGGCUAUGGUGUUCUUCACAGCAAUAAAAUAGCGAUGAAGACAGUAGUUGAUACCAGGAAACCGAGUAUUGCUGUGACAGGCAUGACCAUGCUGUAUAUUGGCAGAAUGUGAACUUUGGACUAGAAAAGUGACUGAGUGGUUUAAGUCGGGAUUUUAUGGGCUAUACUAGUAGCAAGGACACUUGUAUUGGAAAAAUGUAGACAAGUGGGAGACCAGCACAGGAAGUUGCAGAGGGAGAAAUCAUACAAAGUGAAUACAAAGCAACCUAGUGACCAUUCUUGAUGUAUUUCAGCAAAGAGGUGGCUGCUUUUGCCCAUGUCCUGAAAAUCUGCCCGAGUUUUUGAUUAAUGAUGGCAGAGGAGAUGUCAAGACAGCUUAGAAUUGAUCAUAUCAUAUGGUUAUUAGUAAUCACUCUUAUUUAGGUCAGUAAUGGAAAAGAUAAAGCUAGACAAAAAGAAAUACCAAAUGUACAGAUUGAGGGGAAAAGAAAGCACUAGAGAGUGUAAUGGAGCUAAGUCCAGUGCUUCUAGAAGAUUAAAAUUUAAAGAAAAAUUUGACACUAAGUGGAAUCAAAAGAGCAGUAACCUCAGGUAAGAUCCCACUCAGUUAAGGUUCCAACUUGUAAAAGGGAAUUAAAGAAGUUUAAGCAGUGAAGGAAACUAUCAAGAAGGGAAAGCUGAUGCAAAUGUAAAUGAAUCAGAGGGCCAAGUUCAGGCCAGCAAGCAGCUGAAUUUGGCAGCUUUAGCCAAGUGGUUCUGGCCUUAGAGUCAAGGAAAUCAAGAGAGCAAGUCCUUACAAUAUACAAAGGAAUGGCUCUUCCCCCACUGGCUAAGAAAAGGUGCUGAGUCCAGGCAAGUGCUGUGGGUGUUGAGGACCCCCUGCAGGUGUCCAUGCAGUGAUCCAUGAAGAAAUGAGAAUGAAACCUUGGUUCAGAUAGACUUCGUCAACCUAGAUCAAACUUCGGGGAGUUUAAUGCUAGGCCAUCCAUUGUCAGCAUAUUAAAACAUAGUACAAUUUGGGAAAAUUACUAAAUAUUUUCCCUUUAAGUAAAUUAUUUUAUUCUUUUUUGGAAGAUUUACUUAGUUUUAUUUUAUUUGGAAAGAUGAAUAAAUAGUAGAAAAUGUAUCUAAUCCAUUUUGUAAGGAAUAUUGAAAUUAUUCAAAAUAAAAUAUCUGGUUGUGUGAUUUG